rnacentral:RNase_P_RNA from 1 species
AAUCGGGUCCGGAGAGCCGCUGUCCGUCUCGAAAGGGACGGCCCAGAGGAAAUUCCGAACUCCGCAGAGCAGGGUGCCGUCUAACAGGCGGGGUGCCGGUGAACAAUCGCCGGCGCAUGGAUCAGUUCCACAGAGAACAGGUCGCCGAAUGCCCCGGGAGAACCCCGGGGGAUGGCGAAAAGUGAAACCGUGAGGUAAGGGCUCACGACCUUGGGCAGCAAUGCCCGAGGCUGGAAAACCCCACCCGGAGCAAGGCAAACGGCGCGAUACGAUCGGUUCUGGCUCGGAAUGUUCGUAUAACGCGCCCCCGAGCCGCAUAGAGACAUGGCUCUCGCCCCCUGAUGUUAAGGGGGAACAGAAUUCGGGGUACAGGACCUUGAUUACGG